GCAGCGCGGUAAUACGUAGGGUGCCGAGCGUUAAUCGGAAUUACUGGGCGUUAAGCGUGCGCAGGCGGUUUGUUAAGACCGAUGUUGAAAUCCCCGGGCUCCAACCUUGGGAACUUGCAUUUGGUGACCUGGCAAAGCUUAGAAGUAUUGGCAGAGAGGGGGGGUAGAGAAUUCCACCGUGUGGCACAUGAAAAUCUCGAAGAGAGAAUUGUGUGAGAAAUACCGAUGGCCGAAGCCAGGCCCCCUGGGCCCAUACUGGACGGUUCAAUGCAACGAAAGCGUUGGGGGAGCAAACACAGGAUUAGGAUAACCCUUGUUGUUCCACGCCCCUUAACGAUGUCAACUAGUUGUUGGGGAUUCAUUUCCUUAGUUAAGUUGCUUACGCGUGGAGUUGACCGCCUGGGGAGGACGGUUGCAAGAUUUAAACUUAAAGGGAAUGACGGGGAACCGGACCAGCGGUGGAUGAUGUGGAUUAAUUCGAUGCAACGCGAAAAACCUUACCUACCCCUGACAUGGUCGGAACCCUGGAGAGAUCCAGGGGUGCUCGAAAGAGAACCGAUACACAGGUGCUGCAUUGCUGUCGUCAGCUCGUGUCGUGAGAUGUUGGGUUAAGUCCCGCAACGAGCGCAACCCUUGUCCUUAGGUGCUACGCAAGAGCACUCUAGGGAGACUGCCGGUGACAAACCGGAGGAAGGUGGGGAUGACGUCAAGUCCUCAUGGCCCUUAUGGGUAGGGCUUCACACGUCAUACAAUGGUCGGAACAGAGGGUCGCCAACCCGCGAGGGGGAGCUAAUCCCAGAAAACCGAUCGUAGUCCGGAUUGCACUCUGCAACUCGAGUGCAUGAAGCUGGAAUCGCUAGUAAUCGCGGAUCAGCAUGCCGCGGUGAAUACGUUCCCGGGUCUUGUACACACCGCCCGUCACACCAUGGGAGUGGGUUUUACCAGAAGUGGCUAGUCUAACCGCAAGGAGGACGGUCAUCUACAAGUAUGAUUCCAAUGC
rnacentral:rRNA from 1 species